GACGUAGGGCGCAAGCGUUGUCCGGAUUUAUUGGGCGUAAAGAGCUCGUAGGCGGCCUGUCGCGUCGACCGUGAAAACCCGCAGCUCAACUGCGGGCUUGCGGUCGAUACGGGCAGGCUGGAGUUCGGUAGGGGAGACUGGAAUUCCUUGUGUAGCGGUGAAAUGCGCAGAUAUCAGGAGGAACACCGGUGGCGAAGGCGGGUCUCUGGGCCGAUACUGACGCUCAUGUGCGAAAGCGUGGGGAGCAAACAGG
rnacentral:rRNA from 1 species